AUUGAACGCUGGCGGAAUGCUUUACACAUGCAAGUCGAACGGCAGCACGGACUUCGGUCUGGUGGCGAGUGGCGAACGGGUGAGUAAUGUAUCGGAACGUGCCCAGUCGUGGGGGAUAACGUAGUGAAAAUUACGCUAAUACCGCAUACGAUCUAUGGAUGAAAGCGGGGGAUCGCAAGACCUCGCGCGAUUGGAGCGGCCGAUAUCAGAUUAGGUAGUUGGUGGGGUAAAGGCCCACCAAGCCAACGAUCUGUAGCUGGUCUGAGAGGACGACACGCCACACUGGAACUGAGACACGGUCCAGACUCCAACUGGAGGCAGCAGUGGGGAAUUUUGGACAAUGGGCGAAAGCCUGAUCCAGCCAUUCCGCGUGCAGGAUGAAGGCCCUCGGGUUGUAAACUGCUUUUGUACAGAACGAAAAGGUUUCUACUAAUACUAGGAGCUCAUGACGGUACUGUAAGAAUAAGCACCGGCUAACUACGUGCCAGCCGCCGCAGUAA
rnacentral:rRNA from 1 species